UCAGGGGCAAAAUGAGGAUAAUAAUAUAGAUACUGCCUGCAGCACAAGAUUGUUUUGAGGACCAAAUGAGACAAUUUGCUAUCAAGAGAGAAAUAAAACUUUCCACCUUUGAAUGCUGUUGCUCUACCUCAGAAAAACUGCCCACUAGUCUGAGCUGCAAAAGUCUUUUGAUUUUUAUUUACUGAAUGAAAUCUUCCAACUUUAUUAUUUAUCCUUAUACCUCAAUGGUGGAAUGAACAAAAUGUGAUAAUACAAAACUGAACUACUGCAAACAACAGCUCCAUGGUCAGCACAGCAUCAUAGAAGGAUAUGAAAACACACUAUCUCCCACCCUACAAUAUAAAGAGAGUGGUUUUCUGCAUGCAUGCGGGGAUGGAUAUACUGGGCAUUGAAGGUGGCAUAAAAACAGAGUAUGUGUUAAAACAACAACGACAAACCAAUCCCCAAACUUAAAAACAAAGCACAUUAAGAACAGAAGUCACACAGAAGUCAUCCCCAAAUUAGAAAACUAUGACAUUGACUCUAUAACCAUGUGACUUGAUCCAUGUUGAUUAUUAAAUUAAUAGACUGUUUUAAAGUAUGAAGUUUGAAAUCAACCAAUGCUUAAUAAAUUUUUGGCUCCUUGCCUUAACAAUGUUCUGCUCUCCAUUCUGAUGGAUAUAAUACAAACAGGAAAGUGGAGGGAAUAUCAAUAUUCCGACCACCUUACAAACUAAAAG